rnacentral:rRNA from 1 species
AAAGCCGCGUACGGAGUUUCUUUGGUGAUCGUACUGUAAACCGACUCAGGUGGGCGGGGUGAGAGUCCCAAGGCGCGUGAGAGAACCCUGGUUAAGGAACUCGGCAAAUUGACACCGUAACUUCGGGAGAAGGUGUGCCACUGGCGGUUAGCGACCUCGCGUCGCGAAGCUGUUGGUGGUCGCAGUGAAAUGGCGGUUGUGACUGUUUACUAAAAACACAGGACUCUGCGAACUCGUAAGAGGACGUAUAGGGUCUGAUGCCUGCCCGGUGCUGGAAGGUUAAGGGAAUAUGUCAGGGGCAACCCGAAGCAUUGAACCGAAGCCCCAGUAAACGGCGGCCGUAACAAUAACGGUCCUAAGGUAGCGAAAUUCCUUGUCGGGUAAGUUCCGACCUGCACGAGGGCAUAACAACAUCCGCACUGUCUCGACCAGGGACUCAGCGAAAUUGCAUUGGGGGUGAAGAUGCCCUCUACCCGCGGCAAGACGGAAAGACCCCAUGAACCUUCACUGCAACUUGGCAGUGAAAUUCGGGUUGAUCUGCGUAGGAUAGGUGGGAGGCUUUGAAGUCGGGUUUCCGGAUUCGACAGAGCCAACGUUGAAAUACCACCCUGAUUAAUCUGGAUUUCUAACCUACAUCCGUAAUCCGGAUGAGGGACACUGCCUGGUGGGCAGUUUGACUGGGGCGGUCGCCUCCUAAAUUGUAACGGAGGCGUGCGAAGGUUCCCUCAGGCUGAUUGGAAACCAGCCGGAGAGUGCAAACGCAUAAGGGAGCUUUACUGUGAGACUGACAAGUCGAGCAGUUGCGAAAGCAGGUGUUAGUGAUCCGGUGGUACCGAGUGGAAGGGCCAUCGCUCAUCGGAUAAAAGGUACUCUGGGGAUAACAGGCUGAUCGCGCCUGAGAGUUCACAUCGGCGGCGCGGUUUGGCACCUCGAUGUCGGCUCAUCGCAUCCUGGGGCUGGAGCAGGUCCCAAGGGUUUGGCUGUUCGCCAAUUAAAGCGGUACGCGAGCUGGGUUUAAAACGUCGUGAGACAGUUUGGUCCCUAUCUGCCGUGGGCGCAGGAUACUUGAGAGGAGCUACCCAUAGUACGAGAGGACCUGGGUGGACGAACCUCUGGUGCUCCGGUUGUCACGCCAGUGGCAUAGCCGGGUAGCUAUGUUCGGAACAGAUAACCGCUGAAAGCAUAUAAGCGGGAAGCUGGCCUCAAGACUAGGUAUCCCUGACGUAAGUCACUAAAGGUCCCACGUAGACUACGUGGUUGAUAGGCUGGAUGUGGAAGUGUAGCGAUACACGGAGCUAACCAGUACUAAUAGACCGUGCGACUUGACC